GCACGACUUUAACGCAUACACGGGUGCACGUGAUGGGUACGCUUGUAUGCGACGCCGGGCGGCGCUGUUCCCCACACAGGCACCCACCUGCGCUCUCAUCAGCCCGCGUGUGCUUCUCAUUUUUUUUGCCUUUCCGUUUCGUUUCCAUGCGUGUGUAGGUGUGCAGUGCGCGGCUGUCCCCCUCCUCUCUCUCCUCUGCCGGUGGUGCCCUCGACUGCUUUGGUAUGUAUCGAGUUGAUGACCGCCACGGCGGUUCGCACGUUCAUGCGCGUGCGUGCGUCUCUGCCUCCGUCCACUCUCUGAUGGAUGGGCAAAGGGGAUCGGCAAGUAGGUGGGAGCGGAGGGCAGUCAGUGCUGAACUCUGGAGUUAGCUGCUGCACGCGUGUUUAUGAGUGUGCAUGGCUUCCUUUUUGCGUUCGCUUCAUUUCUCGCUUAUUUUCCUCAGUGCCUACUGUUCCUUCACGACAGGUGGGGGUCGGGGCAAGGGGCGGCACACUCCUCAGUGCGCGGUGGUAUCUCAGGGUCCAGUACCACCACCCUAGGUGCUGAGGCCAAACAGCCCCCCCUCCCCUCCCCCCGACCCUCUAAGCCUGCCGAACCACCUCUGGUGAUGACAGGGUCACGUACCAGUGUCAUGGGGCAGUCAGAGCGAUGUAUCACUGCUGAUGCCAGCGGUCCGGCCCUGGGUGGCGCUGUGUCGGAGCGACCUGCGACCGUGAGCAGGCGCUUGCACCAUCCAUGUGAUGGGCGAAGUGUCAGAGUGACUCGAAGGUACCUCACCGCCGGCCCUCACGCUGCCCACUCGCGUGGGGAGUGUCCGGGUCACCGCGAGGGGGAUGGACCAGGUGGCGACUGGCACAAUGGGAGCGGCUGUGAGGCGAGCUGCGAGGCAGAGACCGCGCUCAGGUGACUGAGUCGGCUCAUUGCUGUCACGCGGUCCUCUGCAGCUUCGCGCCACGCGCUGGGGCCUGUGACAGGCCGGGCAGCGUGAGCUCACGCCGUAUUAGGGGGAUGAACGCGUUGCUCAGAGAGCCCGGCGCUUGCUCUGCCCCUCUUCCGCUGCCUUCUUCCGUGCACCCCUUUCUCUUCGUUCACUGAAGCACCCACGCCCUCUUCACUUGCGCCGCUUCACCAG
rnacentral:misc_RNA from 1 species